rnacentral:rRNA from 1 species
CACGUAGGGUGCGAGCGUUGUCCGGAAUUACUGGGCGUAAAGCGCGCGUAGGCGGUUUUGCAAGCCAGAGGUGAAAUGCCUGAGCUCAACUUAGGAAUUGCCUUUGGGACUGCGAGGCUUUGAGGACGGGAGAGGUGAGUGGAACUGCGAGUGUAGAGGUGAAAUUCGUAGAUAUUCGCAAGAACACCAGUGGCGAAGGCGGCUCACUGGCCCGGUACUGACGCUGAGGUGCGAAAGCGUGGGGAGCAAACAGG